AGAAAUUACAGAAGCAGAAUGGGUUUAAAUGCUGUUUUGGUUUGAGCUGAAAGAGUUGAGCCGCUCAUCAGUGCGGGUGUGUGUUAGCUGGGCUUUCAGCAGUCAGUGCAGCUGGUUUGAUCUCAGUUUCUCACAGAGAUUUAAAGUAGCUGCUCUUUAGCACCUUGCCAGAACACUCCUGCCUCUACCUGAGAAACCUGCUCGCACGCUUAACAGUAACAACCUGCCAUCUGUCUCUCACUCAGUACAUCCUCAGAGCAGCGACACACAUGGACACAGUCUGGUUUGUCUGCUAACACGCUGAGAAAGCCGCUGCAGUGUGAAAAUGAGUUUGUCUGGUCUGUGUGUCGUCUGAUAUGCCACAUCGGACUCAGUUAUUGCAGUCAACUGACCUAAAACAGAACAUGCAUGACAUUUCAACCUUCACAACUUUUAUCCAAGUGUCUAAAACAUUUUGGGGUCACUGUAUGUGCCUCUGUAUCUUAUGAUGAAAGUUUUCUUUGUUAACAGACCGAGAAAGGCAGUGCCCUUCAUGAAGCAGCUCUAUUUGGAAAGACAGAAGUAGUACAAAAACUACUCAACGCAGGUAUUGAUGUGAAUAUCAUGGACAGUAAGAGUCUAACAGCGCUGGACACUGUUAGAGACAUGCCCUCUCAAAAGAGUCGACAGAUCGCCGCCCUCAUACAAGCUCAUAUGAGCGUCCGUCCGUCAGACACGAGCCUCCCUCCUCCACCAGUGCCUCCACCUCAAGAGAGCCUGAGCCCCAAGAGAAAAGGUCAGAGAAACACUCGAAAAACUCCACUCAAUGAAA